GAGAGGUGGAUGGCUACAUAGACUUCAGAAGAAAAUCUGAAGCUUGGUUUGAACACUGACACAGAAGUUGGCCUGGGUCUUUUGAACCAGUGCAGAAUCUCCUUAUGUUACAGAAUAUCAAUGAGCCUCCAAAAUAAUGGCAUAACAGCGUUUUGUAGCCAAGAUGAUUGAAGGUCAGAAGAGACAAUGUUACCUCUUCAUACAAGCCUUGCCUUGCCUUGGAAAAACACAGCUUGAGACUGAAGCUUGAGAUUAAAUACAGAAGUUCACAUUUUGGAUGAUUUGUGGAAUUCAGUGUGAGCAUUUGCAAAAUGCUCAUGUUUACAUUUCUCCUUUCCUCCAGUUGUUAUCUUCCAUCAUGACAUGCAGGUUUCAGAGUGCAACUACAACCUUGCUGCACUCUCUGUGCUCUCUGUGCUGUUAUGAGCUUUUGAUCACUUUAUUAACUGCACUUAAGAGUAUCUUGAUCUAUUUUUUCAACUAAUUUGACAUUCUACAAGGCACCCCUUGUUUCCCAGAAUGUAUCCCAGAGCUGGAGCCAGUUCCAUUGCAGAGAUGCUACAUUUUCACUUGCUGAUUGCAAUUAGCCAUUGCCAGCUGGGGCCUGGUGAGAUGCUGAAGAGCUAACAAGAAGCAGAGACCAGCAUGAGGCCUCAGCAGCACGUAUGCUGUGAAUAAACAAGAAACACAGCGCUGUGUACCUGAGGUUACUCCACCACAAAACAAGGUUCCCACAUCCUGGCCUGUAUGUCAAAAUCUGCUUUUGGAGGCUCAGCUUGCUCCUCACGCUCUUACACAUCACCAGCACAUUUGCCAGCCAGGAAAUGUGGAGAAAUAGAGGUCAUCCUCCCAGUCAUCCCUAUCCUCAGGCAGCAUCAAUCACCAUAAAGGAGAAGUUACCUCUGAUUAUGGUGGUUGCCAUACUAGGGACACACCAAUUGAGCUUUGGAGGUGGACAGAGACGCUUCCAUCCCUUGCCAGCUGCUGAGGUCCUGCCAAGUCUACUGUGUGCUCAAAGGCAUUCACAUGGGCAGUGAAACAUGGCUGUGAAGUUAAGUCAGCCUCCCUUCAUGUGCCCCAGGAAACCAUCUCGGCAUUUGUGGCAUUCAGGAUGUAUAGUGCUUCUCUCAAACAAUCCAAGAGAUAAGUGAUGGACUAAAGAGAUGUCUCAGCAACCCACCCAACCUUUUGUUUCCCCUCCUGCCAUGUGUACCUGAGAACUGGGGAGUUCAGUGUGGGACAUGCUGAGAUUGGAGAUAAAAGGAGUUCUACAGCUGGCGGUGGGAGCAGAAUAUCUAGUGAUACCCAGGCCUUGAUAUGAAAACCACCGACUUAGCAGGACAAGACAAAGAGUGCUGGUCUCAAGCCACUUCCUAGGACCAAACCUCCACUGCAAUAAACUAAUCCUGUGGUGCCAGUUGUCUCAGCCUCCUCCUUUGCAAUGGCUGAUCUCAUCAAUCAGCCAAACAAAGACUAUCUGCAGGGCAUAGCCCCUGGCACCAUACCUACCCCCUGCUAUCUCGGAGGAGCAGCACGGAGAAGAUAGAAAGAUUUUCUCCCUUAUUCAGGUAGAAAAGUGGGGGUGCAGUGGGCAAGAACUGUAUAAAAAUCUGGGACACUACGGGUGCAGGGAAGCACUUCCCGACCAGGAGCCACUUCCCCACCGACGACAUUGCUGGACCGUGUUGGUAACUGUGCUCUCGCUUGCUGUCCUCUGUAUCUCUGCUUUCUCCUUUCUCUUCUGUCUCUGUUUUCCUCCCUGUCCUCUCCGCUCUAGGAACUUUGUUGUGUUACUCUAAUAAAAGUUUGUUGUGCACGUGA